rnacentral:rRNA from 1 species
CGCCUCUCGAACAUUAUAAGAGGUCCAGCCUGCCCAAUGACUCUGUUUAACGGCCGCGGUAUCCUAACCGUGCGAAGGUAGCGUAAUCACUUGUUCUCUAAAUGAGGACCAGUAUGAACGGCAUCACGAGGGUUAUACUGUCUCCUCUUUCUAAUCAGUGAAACUAACCUCCCCGUGAAGAGGCGGGGAUAAAACUAUAAGACGAGAAGACCCUAUGGAGCUUUAAACAAUAUAGCACUUGCCAUAUAAUAUAAAAAAUUCCCGAAUCCCUUAUUCCAGGGUAAUAUGACUAUAAGUUUUUGGUUGGGGUGACCGCGGAGCAAAACUUAACCUCCAUGUUGAAAAUUUUUAAGCUAAGAAUCACCCUUCUAAGCAUCAAUAUAUUGACACCAAUUGACCCAAUACAUUUGAACAACGAACCAAGUUACCCUAGGGAUAACAGCGCAAUCCACUUCAAGAGCUCCUAUCGACAGGUGGGUUUACGACCUCGAUGUUGGAUCAGGGUCUCCCAGUGGUGCAGCCGCUACUAAAGGUUCGUUUGUUCAACGAUCAAAACCCUACG